CAAAAAAGAAGAAGAAAAGAAGAAAAAGAAAAAGAAAAAGAAGAAGAAGGGGACUCAAGAGCGUAAAUCAAUCGCUUUAUCAAGGUGCCCAGCCUGUCUUUUCGAGCUCUUAAAAAAUCCAUCUUUUCCCUUAUUCUCUCACCU
rnacentral:ribozyme from 1 species